rnacentral:rRNA from 1 species
GACUCCCCGAAACUAAGUGAGCUACUUCAGGGCAGCUAAAAGAGCAAACCCGUCUCUGUGGCAAAAGAGUGGGAUGACCUUCAAGUAGCGGUGACAGACCUAACGAACUUAGUGAUAGCUGGUUGCCCAAGAAACGGAUUUAAGUCCAACCUGAAAUUUAAUAUAGUCCUCAUAAACAUCUUCUAAUCUUUCAGCGUAAUUCAAAUAAGGUACAGCCUAUUUGAAACAGGAUACAACCUAAACUAACGGAUAAGAUCAGCCUGUAACACAAUCAAGUGGGCCUAAAAGCAGCCACCUUCAAAAUUGCGUCAAAGCUUAGUUGUCUUCAUGCUAAAUUACCAAACCCACAUCUUAAUCCUUUUUCAAUAUUGAGCAAUUCUAUACUGCUAUAGAAAAUUUUAUGUUAAAACUAGUAACAAGAAGAAGGCCCUUCUCUUAAGCGU